rnacentral:rRNA from 1 species
GUGGGGGAUAUUGCACAAUGGGGGAAACCCUGAUGCAGCGACGCCGCGUGUGGGAAGACGGUCCUCUGGAUUGUAAACCACUGUCCCCAGGGACGAAGAUGACGGUACCUGGGGAGGAAGCUCCGGCUAACUCCGUGCCAGCAGCCGCGGUAAUACGUAGGGAGCGAGCGUUGUCCGGAAUUACUGGGUGUAAAGGGAGCGUAGGCGGGGAUGCAAGUUGGGUGUCAAAACUACCGGCUCAACUGGUAGUCGCACUCAAAACUGCAGCUCUUGAGUGAAGUAGAGGCAGGCGGAAUUCCUAGUGUAGCGGUGAAAUGCGUAGAUAUUAGGAGGAACACCAGUGGCGAAGGCGGCCUGCUGGGCUUUUACUGACGCUGAGGCUCGAAAGUGUGGGGAGCAAACAGG